UUGCUAUCAGGGUAGUUUUUACAAUGCACUUUGACCAAUUUGAUUCAAUAUGUUAGCAUAGAUUAUUUGACCAUUUACAAGCCCAAGUCAGGGUAGUAAUUGUUCGACUUGUUCCGAAGAAAUUUUAUAAAUUUUAAUAACACGUGGCCGUGGGAAUCGAAGCCGUUUAAGUGCAUUAGAACCACAAUUAGAAUAUAUUUUAGAACAUAAUUUGUAUUCUUUUUUCUAUAUUACACCAUAAAUUAACUCGAUUUUCAUAAUACUGUACUUCAUCAAGGACAGAAGAACUACUAGGUUAUAUUGACACAAACAUUCGUAUUUCGAGAGGAAGCAAAUGAAAUUAAACAGAGGAAUUAACAAUUUCAAUAUCAAAUAUAUUCAGACAAUGGUAGUCUGAACUCCGAAAGGAAUAUCAACUCAAAGACAUUGUCAUUGAGUUUGUUUAGUACUACAAAAGUUUGCGAAGCAACGAAUCCUUAAUAUUGAUUGGCUAGUAAACUAGGUUUAUUUGCUUUAUUGCCUUCAUAAACAACUGUAUGUCUCAUAUUCAAUGCUCAAUGUCUCAUGUACAGAAAGCCUGAUUUGUCCGCAAGCCGGUAAACACAAAAAGUAACAACUAGAAAGGUUUAUUAAGCAAUCAAUCCCAGCACUUUAGACAGCAAAUUCACUUCAAUAAUUCCUCGAUACAGCUUAUAAAACAUGAAUUCAUACACAGGUAUAAAAUCAACAACACAAUACAGACAAAAGUUCAAUAGUUCAUUACCUGAUAUAUUCUCAAACGCCUGUGCCGUCUUGAUAUGUGAUGGGCCAUUGCUCAAUUUUCGCUGAACAAGUGGCGUUAAGCAAGCUGCUCGCGAAAGAGCACUCCCGCUUAAAACUUUUCUUAAGGAAGGCAACAUUCUUGCUUGGCUGUUCGAAGAGACUAAUCGUUUGAAACCAGUGUUUCCCCCAUUUUAUAGCCUUCAAAAUGAUACCGGAUAUGCGCAUUUGUAAUUUUUUUCGACAUAUUAUGUUGACUGCUAUUUCAAAAUGUUACAUAAAAAAUCUCGCUUAAUAUUACAUUCUAUAUAUUUUCUUGUUCUUUGAAGCGCUGUGUUUAAAUAUAU